rnacentral:rRNA from 1 species
CCAGCAGCCGCGGUAAUACGUAGGUGGCAAGCGUUGUCCGGAAUUAUUGGGCGUAAAGGGCUCGCAGGCGGUUUCUUAAGUCUGAUGUGAAAGCCCCCGGCUCAACCGGGGAGGGUCAUUGGAAACUGGGAAACUUGAGUGCAGAAGAGGAGAGUGGAAUUCCACGUGUAGCGGUGAAAUGCGUAGAGAUGUGGAGGAACACCAGUGGCGAAGGCGACUCUCUGGUCUGUAACUGACGCUGAGGAGCGAAAGCGUGGGGAGCGAACAGGAUUAGAUACCCUGGUAGUCCACGCCGUAAACGAUGAGUGCUAAGUGUUAGGGGGUUUCCGCCCCUUAGUGCUGCAGCUAACGCAUUAAGCACUCCGCCUGGGGAGUACGGUCGCAAGACUGAAACUCAAAGGAAUUGACGGGGGCCCGCACAAGCGGUGGAGCAUGUGGUUUAAUUCGAAGCAACGCGAAGAACCUUACCAGGUCUUGACAUCCUCUGACAACCCUAGAGAUAGGGCUUUCCCUUCGGGGACAGAGUGACAGGUGGUGCAUGGUUGUCGUCAGCUCGUGUCGUGAGAUGUUGGGUUAAGUCCCGCAACGAGCGCAACCCUUGAUCUUAGUUGCCAGCAUUCAGUUGGGCACUCUAAGGUGACUGCCGGUGACAAACCGGAGGAAGGUGGGGAUGACGUCAAAUCAUCAUGCCCCUUAUGACCUGGGCUACACACGUGCUACAAUGGACAGAACAAAGGGCUGCGAGACCGCAAGGUUUAGCCAAUCCCACAAAUCUGUUCUCAGUUCGGAUCGCAGUCUGCAACUCGACUGCGUGAAGCUGGAAUCGCUAGUAAUCGCGGAU